GAUCAUGGCUCAGGAUGAACGCUAGCGGCAGGCUUAACACAUGCAAGUCGAGGGGCAGCAUAAUGGAUAGCAAUAUCUAUGGCGGCGACCGGCGCACGGGUGCGUAACGCGUAUGCAACCUACCUUUAACAGGGGGAUAACACUGAGAAGUUGGUACUAAUACCCCAUAAUAUCAUAGAAGGCAUCUUUUAUGGUUGAAAAUUCCGAUGGUUAGAGAUGGGCAUGCGUUGUA
rnacentral:rRNA from 1 species